GAUUAAGUUAUUAAGGGCGCACGGUGGAUGCCUUGGCACUAGAAGCCGAUGAAGGACGUUACUAACGACGAUAUGCUUUGGGGAGCUGUAAGUAAGCUUUGAUCCAGAGAUUUCCGAAUGGGGAAACCCAGCAUGAGUUAUGUCAUGUUAUCGAUAUGUGAAUACAUAGCAUAUCAGAAGGCACACCCGGAGAACUGAAACAUCUUAGUACCCGGAGGAAGAGAAAGAAAAUUCGAUUCCCUUAGUAGCGGCGAGCGAAAUGGGAAGAGCCCAAACCAACAAGCUUGCUUGUUGGGGUUGUAGGACACUCUAUACGGAGUUACAAAGGACGACAUUAGACGAAUCAUCUGGAAAGAUGAAUCAAAGAAGGUAAUAAUCCUGUAGUCGAAAAUGUUGUCUCUCUUGAGUGGAUCCUGAGUACGACGGAGCACGUGAAAUUCCGUCGGAAUCUGGGAGGACCAUCUCCUAAGGCUAAAUACUCUCUAGUGACCGAUAGUGAACCAGUACCGUGAGGGAAAGGUGAAAAGCACCCCGGAAGGGGAGUGAAAUAGAACCUGAAACCGUGUGCUUACAAGUAGUCAGAGCCCGUUAAUGGGUGAUGGCGUGCCUUUUGUAGAAUGAACCGGCGAGUUACGAUUUGAUGCAAGGUUAAGCAGUAAAUGUGGAGCCGUAGCGAAAGCGAGUCUGAAUAGGGCGUUUAGUAUUUGGUCGUAGACCCGAAACCAGGUGAUCUACCCUUGGUCAGGUUGAAGUUCAGGUAACACUGAAUGGAGGACCGAACCGACUUACGUUGAAAAGUGAGCGGAUGAACUGAGGGUAGCGGAGAAAUUCCAAUCGAACCUGGAGAUAGCUGGUUCUCUCCGAAAUAGCUUUAGGGCUAGCCUCAAGUGAUGAUUAUUGGAGGUAGAGCACUGUUUGGACGAGGGGCCCCUCUCGGGUUACCGAAUUCAGACAAACUCCGAAUGCCAAUUAAUUUAACUUGGGAGUCAGAACAUGGGUGAUAAGGUCCGUGUUCGAAAGGGAAACAGCCCAGACCACCAGCUAAGGUCCCAAAAUAUAUGUUAAGUGGAAAAGGAUGUGGCGUUGCCCAGACAACUAGGAUGUUGGCUUAGAAGCAGCCAUCAUUUAAAGAGUGCGUAAUAGCUCACUAGUCGAGUGACACUGCGCCGAAAAUGUACCGGGGCUAAACAUAUUACCGAAGCUGUGGAUUGUCCUUUGGACAAUGGUAGGAGAGCGUUCUAAGGGUGUUGAAGCAUGAUCGUAAGGACAUGUGGAGCGCUUAGAAGUGAGAAUGCCGGUGUGAGUAGCGAAAGACGGGUGAGAAUCCCGUCCACCGAUUGACUAAGGUUUCCAGAGGAAGGCUCGUCCGCUCUGGGUUAGUCGGGUCCUAAGCUGAGGCCGACAGGCGUAGGCGAUGGAUAACAGGUUGAUAUUCCUGUACCACCUAUAAUCGUUUUAAUCGAUGGGGGGACGCAGUAGGAUAGGCGAAGCGUGCGAUUGGAUUGCACGUCUAAGCAGUAAGGCUGAGUAUUAGGCAAAUCCGGUACUCGUUAAGGCUGAGCUGUGAUGGGGAGAAGACAUUGUGUCUUCGAGUCGUUGAUUUCACACUGCCGAGAAAAGCCUCUAGAUAGAAAAUAGGUGCCCGUACCGCAAACCGACACAGGUAGUCAAGAUGAGAAUUCUAAGGUGAGCGAGCGAACUCUCGUUAAGGAACUCGGCAAAAUGACCCCGUAACUUCGGGAGAAGGGGUGCUCUUUAGGGUUAACGCCCAGAAGAGCCGCAGUGAAUAGGCCCAAGCGACUGUUUAUCAAAAACACAGGUCUCUGCUAAACCGUAAGGUGAUGUAUAGGGGCUGACGCCUGCCCGGUGCUGGAAGGUUAAGAGGAGUGGUUAGCUUCUGCGAAGCUACGAAUCGAAGCCCCAGUAAACGGCGGCCGUAACUAUAACGGUCCUAAGGUAGCGAAAUUCCUUGUCGGGUAAGUUCCGACCCGCACGAAAGGCGUAACGAUUUGGGCACUGUCUCAACGAGAGACUCGGUGAAAUCAUAGUACCUGUGAAGAUGCAGGUUACCCGCGACAGGACGGAAAGACCCCGUGGAGCUUUACUGUAGCCUGAUAUUGAAAUUCGGCACAGCUUGUACAGGAUAGGUAGGAGCCUUUGAAACGUGAGCGCUAGCUUACGUGGAGGCGCUGGUGGGAUACUACCCUAGCUGUGUUGGCUUUCUAACCCGCACCACUUAUCGUGGUGGGAGACAGUGUCAGGCGGGCAGUUUGACUGGGGCGGUCGCCUCCUAAAAGGUAACGGAGGCGCUCAAAGGUUCCCUCAGAAUGGUUGGAAAUCAUUCAUAGAGUGUAAAGGCAUAAGGGAGCUUGACUGCGAGACCUACAAGUCGAGCAGGGUCGAAAGACGGACUUAGUGAUCCGGUGGUUCCGCAUGGAAGGGCCAUCGCUCAACGGAUAAAAGCUACCCCGGGGAUAACAGGCUUAUCUCCCCCAAGAGUUCACAUCGACGGGGAGGUUUGGCACCUCGAUGUCGGCUCAUCGCAUCCUGGGGCUGUAGUCGGUCCCAAGGGUUGGGCUGUUCGCCCAUUAAAGCGGUACGCGAGCUGGGUUCAGAACGUCGUGAGACAGUUCGGUCCCUAUCCGUCGUGGGCGUAGGAAAUUUGAGAGGAGCUGUCCUUAGUACGAGAGGACCGGGAUGGACAUACCUCUGGUGUACCAGUUGUCGUGCCAACGGCAUAGCUGGGUAGCUAUGUGUGGACGGGAUAAGUGCUGAAAGCAUCUAAGCAUGAAGCCCCCCUCAAGAUGAGAUUUCCCAACUUCGGUUAUAAGAUCCCUCAAAGAUGAUGAGGUUAAUAGGUUCGAGGUGGAAGCAUGGUGACAUGUGGAGCUGACGAAUACUAAUCGAUCGAAGACUUAAUCAA
rnacentral:rRNA from 1 species